rnacentral:lncRNA from 1 species
CUGCAAAGGCCAAUGAGGAAAACAAAUCAUCUUGGAAAAGCAUUGGCUGAAUCAAGAGGCUCAGUGUGCAGCCCACUGUAUCAAGUCCUAGACCAGGCAACGAAAGCUGCGUUGAACCUAUCCUGCAGCAGAAACACUGGUGGAGAAGCCUGGAGAAACAGAGGCCUGCAGUACCCAGCUGCACGAAUGGAGCAUGAGAACACCCUACAGCCUGUUAUUUGCUGCAUGUUUCUACGGGCACCAGCAAAGCACAACUUCUAGUAAUGGGAUCAGUAACCCAAGUGACGGAACUGAAAAGGCAAGUCUGAAUUUAUCUCCAUCUGUCAUGUUCCAGUGAACAAUGAAAGCACAGUAAAAGGGAAACGCUGCUUCUUGCAUGUUUGUGCCAGUCCCUCCCUGCUAGGUACUAUUAUUAGCAGCAUUAAUAAAUGCCUCUGACUUGCAGUAAAGGUUCAGAAUGCUGGAGAGUUACAGGGCAUGCCAAACACAUAAACUGCCUGCUCUCAGGGCUGAUGGGCACGAAGGCUAUAAGAUGAAGCCCAAAUGGCAGAAACA